UACGUAGGUGCCAAGCGUUGUCCGGAAUUAUUGGGCGUAAAGGGCUCGUAGGCGGUCUGUUGCGUCGGGAGUGAAAACUUACAGCUUAACUGUGAGCGUGCUUUCGAUACGGGCAGACUUGAGGCAUUCAGGGGAGAACGGAAUUCCUGGUGUAGCGGUGAAAUGCGCAGAUAUCAGGAGGAACACCGGUGGCGAAGGCGGAUCUCUGGGCCUUACCUGACGCUGAGGCGCGAAAGCUAGGGGAGCGAACAGG
rnacentral:rRNA from 1 species